UUUAACAUUUUAACAUUUAAGGUCACAGUGACCUUGACCUUCAAAUGAAUGACAUUGAAAUGACCAGUGGUCAUCUUCUAGUACUGGCCAAUCUUUAUUUCAAGUUUGAAGACUCUAGGUACAAGCAUACCAAAGUUAUACCAUGAAAUAAGAACUUUAACAUUUUUACAUUCAAGGUCACAGUGACCUUGACCUUCAAAUGAAUGACCUUGAAAUGUCCAGUGGUUACUUACUAGUUCUGGCCAACCUUCAUGUCAAGUUUCAAGACUCUAGGUCCAAGCAUACCAAAGUUAUAACAACUUUAACAUUUUUACAUUCAAGGUCACAGUGACCUUGACCUUCAAAUGAAUGACCUUGAAAUGUCCAGUGGUUACUUACUAGUUCUGGCCAACCUUCAUGUCAAGUUUCAAGACUCUAGGUCCAAGCAUACCAAAGUUAUAACAACUUUAACAUUUUUAUAUUGAAGGUCACAGUGACCUUCACCUUCAAAUGAAUGACCUUGAAAUGACCAGUGGUCAUCUGUUAAUCCUGGCCAACCUUCAUGUCAAGUUUGAAGACUCUAGGUCCAAGCAUACCAAAGUUAUACCAUGAAAUAAGAACUUUAACAUUUUUACAUUCAAGGUCACAGUGACCUUGACCUUCAAAUGAAUGACCUUGAAAUGACCAGUGGUUACUAACUAGUUAUGGCCAACCUUCAUGUCAAGUUUCAAGACUCUAGGUCCAAGCAUACCAAAGUUAUAACAACUUUAACAUUUUUUAUAUUGAAGGUCACAGUGACCUUGACCUUCAAAUGAAUGACCUUGAAAUGACCAGUGGUCAUCUGUUAAUCCUGGCCAACCUUCAUGUCAAGUUUGAAGACUCUAGGUCCAAGCAUACCAAAG